GACGAACGCUGGCGGCGUGCUUAACACAUGCAAGUCGAACGGAAAGGCCUGCUUUCCCUUGUGGAUUGCGGGUGCUCGAGUGGCGAACGGGUGAGUAACACGUGAGUGAUCUGCCCCCAACUUGGGUAUAAGCCUGGGAAACUGGGUCUAAUUCCCGAUAGGACUGCAGGGUGGUGCCUGUGGUGGAAAACGAUUUUCUAGUGGUUGGGGAUGAGCUCGCGGCCUAUCAGCUUGUUGGUGGGGUAAUGGCCUACCAAGGCGGCGACGGGUAGCCGGCCUGAGAGGGUGGACGGCCACAUUGGGACUGAGAUACGGCCCAGACUCCUACGGGAGGCAGCAGUGGGGAAUAUUGCACAAUGGGCGGAAGCCUGAUGCAGCGACGCCGCGUGGGGGAUGACGGCCUUCGGGUUGUAAACUCCUUUCGACCGCGAGGAAGCCGCCUGGUUGGAAGGGUGGUGACGGUAGUGGUAGAAGAAGCACCGGCUAACUACGUGCCAGCAGCCGCAGUAAAAC
rnacentral:rRNA from 1 species